AGGGUUUGAUCCUGGCUCAGAACGAACGUUGGCGGCAUGGAUUAGGCAUGCAAGUCGAACGAAUCCUGGGGUAGCAAUACCUCGGGGGAAGUGGCGAAAGGGGCAGUAAUACAUGGAUAACCUACCUUGGGGAUGGGCAUAGCCGUUCUAACGAACGGGUAAUACCCAGCGAUUCGGAUGCGGGGCAUCUCGCGACCGGGAAAUGAAUUUCGCCUCGGGAGGGGUCCAUGCGCUAUCAGCUAGUUGGUGGGGUAACGGCCCACCAAGGCUUAGACGGCUAGCGGGUGUGAGAGCACGACCCGCGCCACUGGCACUGAGACACUGGCCAGACACCUACGGGUGGCUGCAGUCGAGGAUCUUCGUCAAUGGGCGCAAGCCUGAACGAGCGAUGCCGCGUGAGCGAUGAAGGCCUUCGGGUUGUAAAGCUCAAAAGGGGUGAGAAAGGGAAACUUGAUCGAACCCCAGUAAGCUCGGGCUAAGUUCGUGCCAGCAGCCGCGGUAAGACGAACCGAGCGAACGUUGUUCGGAAUCACUGGGCUUAAAGGGCGCGUAGGCGGGUGCUCAAGUCCGUGGUGAAAUCCUCCGGCUCAACCGGAGAACUGCCUCGGAUACUGGGCGUCUCGAGUGUGGUAGGGGUAUGCGGAACUAUCGGUGGAGCGGUGAAAUGCGUUGAUAUCGAUAGGAACUCCGGUGGCGAAGGCGGCAUACUGGACCACCACUGACGCUGAUGCGCGAAAGCCAGGGGAGCAAACGGGAUUAGAUACCCCGGUAGUCCUGGCCCUAAACGAUGGGUACUAGCUAGUAGGGUUCACAUGGCUUUACUGGCGAAGCAAAAGUGCUAAGUACCCCGCCUGGGGAGUAUGGUCGCAAGGCUGAAACUCAAAGGAAUUGACG
rnacentral:rRNA from 1 species